rnacentral:rRNA from 1 species
UGGGGAAUAUUGCACAAUGGGGGAAACCCUGAUGCAGCGACGCCGCGUGAGCGAAGAAGGUUUUCGAAUCGUAAAGCUCUGUCCUAUGGGAAGAUAAUGACGGUACCAUAGGAGGAAGCCCCGGCUAACUACGUGCCAGCAGCCGCGGUAAUACGUAGGGGGCAAGCGUUGUCCGGAAUCACUGGGCGUAAAGGGUUCGCAGGCGGAAAUGCAAGUCGGUUGUGAAAGGCAGAGGCUCAACCUCUGUAAGCAAUUGAAACUGUAUUUCUUGAGAUGUGGAGAGGCAAGUGGAAUUCCUAGUGUAGCGGUGAAAUGCGUAGAUAUUAGGAAGAAUACCGGUGGCGAAGGCGACUUGCUGGACACAGACUGACGCUGAGGAACGAAAGCGUGGGUAGCAAACAGG